UGCAAACAUAAAUUUAGUAGCAACGUGUUUGCCGGAGGAACAAGUGUCACAUCGUCUCCAGUGGUUCUCGCCUGACUUUCACAUUUUUCCUCUGUGUGUGAACUGGAGCCGGAGCGCAGCGCAGCGCGGAGACGGGAGCGGACCUCUUUCUCCCCGAGUGACCGGACAGGCUGGGGCAGAGGGGCAGACAGACAGACAGACAGACAGACAGCGGGCAGGCACAGUUGCGUCUCUGCUGCUUGACAGCGCACUGAGCUCAUCAGCCUUAGAGAUGGCAGGGGUCUGGUUAUGGACGACUGGACUGGCUCUUCUCGCUGUUUGUGCCAAGGUUGCUGUGUGGGCCAGCGAUGGAGAAGCGGUGUUCAUCAGAGAGUUCACUCUGAUUCGACGGGACCACCUCCCCGAUGAGCCGCUCCACGACAGCAGCCAAAAGCCAGACGACGCGAGCUCGAGGAUGGCCCGAUCAGAAGAGGACAGGGACACACUGUGGGAUGCUUGGGGCUCAUGGAGUGAAUGCUCCCGUACCUGUGGAGGAGGAGCCUCAUACUCCCUUCGACGAUGCCUCAGCUCCAAGACCUGUGAAGGGCAGAAUAUCAAAUAUCGCACAUGCAGUAAUGUGGACUGCCCUCCGGAUGCCGGUGAUUUCCGUGCUCAGCAGUGUUCAGCUUAUGCAGAUGUGCACUACCAGGGGCAGUACCACGAGUGGCUGCCUGUGUACAACGACCCAGAGAACCCCUGUGCCCUCAAGUGCAAAGCCAAGGGCUCGGGUGCUGUAGUGGAGCUGGCUCCCAAGGUGCUGGAUGGGACUCGCUGUUACACCGAAUCCCUGGACAUGUGUAUCAGUGGAGUCUGCCAGAUUGUAGGUUGUGAUCAUGAGCUGGGGAGCACAGCAAAGGAGGACAACUGUGGCAUCUGCAGUGGAGAUGGCUCAUCCUGCCGGCUUGUGCGGGGACACUACAAAUCCCAGCAUGCUUCAGGAAAAACUGAGGAUACAGUCGUCAUCAUCCCCUAUAAGAGUCGUCAUGUACGUCUCGUCCUGAAAGGCCCGGAUCACUUGUAUGUGGAGAGUAAGACCCUGCAAGGGGCGAAGGACGAGCUGGUCUUAGACACAUCAGGCCAGUACCACCUGGAGAACACCACCUUGGACUACCAGAAACUUUCUGAUAAGGAGGUCCUGAGAAUCACUGGCCCACUCGGAGCUGACUUCACUGUUAAAGUGCAGUUCGCCAGUGGAGCAGACAGCGUGGUCCAGUACAUCUACUACCAGCCCAUCAUCCACCGCUGGAGAGAGACCGACUUCUUCCCUUGCUCUGUCACAUGUGGUGGAGGUUACCAGCUGACCUCAGCAGAGUGCUUUGACCUGCGGAGCGGUCGGGUGGUUGUGGACCAGUAUUGUCAUUAUUACCCAGAGAAUGUCAAACCUAAGCCCAAACUGCAGGAGUGCAACCUGGAGCCCUGUCUGGCCAGUGACGGCUACAAACAAAUUAUGCCAUAUGACCUCUACCACCCCCUUCCUCGAUGGGAGAGCAGUCCCUGGACGGCCUGCUCCAUCUCCUGUGGCAGGGGCAUCCAGAGUCGCUCCGUGUCCUGUGUGGAGGAAGACAUGCAUGGAAACAUCACUCCCACCGAGGAGUGGAAGUGUCUGUAUGCUCCCAAGACAGCCAUCCUGCAGCCCUGCAACACCUUCGACUGCCCCACCUGGCUUGCACAGGAGUGGUCACCAUGCACGGUGACCUGCGGUCAGGGGCUGCGCUACAGGGUGGUGUUAUGCAUCGAUCACAGGGGACUGCACGCUGGAGGCUGCAACCCCACCACCAAACCCUACAUCAAGGAGGAGUGUCUGAUACACUCCCAGUAGAGGCGAAAUCUGUGUGGCAUAAGCAGGCCAUAGAGCUGGAGGAUGAAGUCACAGUGACGGAGGAACCGACCUUCAUCCCUGGGCCCUGGCAGCCCUGCAGCAGGACAUGCGGUGCUGGGACCCAGCAACGAACCGUCAAGUGCCAAGUGCUGCUGUCCU